AAAUGGAAACCCCUUUUUUUUUUUCCUUCUAUCAAUCGUUUUUUAUCGGUUUCUUUCUUUCUUCUUCUUCUGCUAUAGUGUUAAUUUCGAAGAUAGAGUGAAUCAAGAAAGGAGUGAGGACGAUUGAUGAGUUUGAGGUAUACGAGCUGCAUAAGAGGUCUUCAACGGCUGAAAGACCAGAGAUCUCAGGGAACAAUGACUAGAUUCAAGUUCCACAGUGGGAAACCCAAAUCGGAAUCAGGGGCUUCUUCGGAAAAUGCAGCGAUCUCCACCUUCGCCAGACAAGAAGUACAAAGGGAAAAAGGGGGCAGCCAACCAAGGGCGCUAUCCCAGGAGGCAGACAUGGGGAAAACACAUGCCCUAGUAACAAGAAUAUGAACAGGCUGCACCAUAUCUCGGUGCAAAUGAAGGACUCGAAACCCCGAAAAGCGAGUAGCUAAUAAAGAGAUAACUCAUGCAAUAGUUUGGAGUUCAGGGGAGGCUGAAUCAGAAUCUCCAUUGAUAGCAUUGACCACCUGCAUGCAAUCAGAAAAGUAUACCAAGUAGAAGAUGCAAUUAUCCAUGGCCCAUCGAACAAAAGAACGCAAUGCAAGGCUUUCAGCAAUAUCUGGGGGCGACCACGGGAUAGGCAGAGCAACAACCACCUUGAAACAAGAUUCAGAAUCCAAAACAACAAAUCCAAUUCCAACGGUCUUCCUAUGGGCAUUAGAGGAGGCAUCACAAAUAGCACAUUCCCAACCAUUUGGAAUAACACUUUGAUAGUCAAUAUGCAAUGGUGAAAUAGGAGUAAAGGUGGGUGAGGGAGCCGGGAAGAAUGUCUAGAGGUAUUCUGAACUUGUAUUAAAGUCUAUUGAUGGUUUAUUGGAUUUAUUGAAGUCUUCUUACAAGAAAAACAAGAAAGAGAAGAAGUCUCUCCCUUAUUGUGUGUGGUUUGAAUGAUUCUAAAUGCUUUAAGGAAGGUUGGAAAAUUCCAUUAAUGAUAGUUUAAUAUGGUGGUUGUGUUCAUUGAUGUUCUAUUGAGAGCUUCUUUGCAAGAAAGCCAAAGAAAAGAAAAUAAAAAGAUUGAGAAGGAGGGUGGUCCUCAUUUGGUUGUAUAAUCUUGAGCAUUCAAUUCUCUUUCAUCUCAUUGCAAGAGUUGAAAACUCUAGUGAGCAUUACUGACAAGUCGCGUUCUCAGAUAUGUCUCUAUGUUCUCCAAGACAUCUCCAGAAUCAUCAGACAACGGUUGUAAGCCUCUCAACCUCUGUAUUUAUUUUACUAUUAUUGUCUGAAAGUGUCAAUAUAUGCUAGAACAUAGGUGAAUGUGUGAAAUGUCUAUACUAGCUUAAACUUGACUAUAGGGCAACUGCUAUAAGCCUAUUGUAGUUGUAUUUAUUAUACUUGGUGCUUAGUGGGUACUACUAGUAUCGACACUGCAAGUGCCUUCUGGGUUUCGUACUGGGUAAUCUCGAGAGUGGGGACUCUAGUUGUAGGUGCAGUAAGUUAAGUAUUGAGUAAAUACGUAACAUUUACAUGCACUAUUCUGGGAAUGUAGACAUCUUGCUGAACUUAAUUAAUCUUUGUAUUGUAGUGGACUUCUCUAUUUCAUGUAUUGCAUUGAGGUGUGUGGAUUGCAGGUUGGGUAAUCUUUAUAUUGUAGUGGAUUUCUCUAUUUCAUCUAUUGCUUUGAAGUGUGUGGAUUGCAGGUUGGGUGUACACACUUGGAAUUGCCUAUAAUUAGAAGGUGGGUGUGCAUAUGAAUGUGUGUCUGCCACAAUAAAGAAUUAGUUUCACAUCAAGUAAUUGGUAGAAAAUGGAUUUGGAUUCGAUGCACUGAUUCACCCCCUUCUCAGCAUUAGUUGGGAAUCAACAGAAGGUGGAUGUUGAUUGGGUCUCGUGCAAGUGUAUAAACCACAUUCCAAGAUAGGGAAAAAAAAAAAAGGGAAGAAGAAGAAGAAGAAGGAGAGAUUCCACAUCAUUUUUAGAGUAUUUUAUUAAUGGGAAAAGGACCUUGCCUCGUAGUGUGCUGCCUACACCUAGCAACAAUGGGAGGCGAAAUGACCACCCCAACACCCUCAUGAAUAAAAAAAUCUCUCUUAUUGAUGCUUCUACACAGAUUGUGAUUGGCCCAUGUGUCGGCGCAGGGCCACGUUGCUAGACCUAGAACACUCUCCCUUCAUUAGAAGGAAGGAGGCUAGCUAUGCCGCCGACUUUCCCAGAGCUAGUGAUUCAAUUAAUGGGAGGGGCAUAGAGGAUUUUUUUUUAGGGGACGAAGAGAGAGAUAGAUACAAAUCUGAGUAUACUGACACAUUAAUGUUUUGGCAGACAAAAAAAAAUUAAAUAAUAUUUUGGGACGGUAUUGAUAAGAUAGCACUCUGAUUGCAAAGACAAGGUUAGCACUCCAUUGGGGAUUGAAGGAAUGACUCUUAUUUCCCAUGACCCCCAGCAUUAGGGGUGUCAAAUUCUAGCCUGACUAUGAAAACCCAAAACCAACCCUACCCAACUGACAUUUGACUGUUCCUAAUGCAAGGGUGUUACUUGACAGGCUUUCGAUUGGGACCGAUUGAUUAAUAACCUGACUCAGCCCGACAUUUUGAAAGCUUGUUUUUAUUUAGAGCCCAUUUACUUUGCCUGACCGUUUAAAGCUGGUCUAAGGCCUGUUUAACCCGAUUAUUGAUAACCUGAUUAAAGACUGGUACCCAACAUAUCAUUCAUAAAUGGGAACAUGCUUAACUUAUGAGGAUCUAUUACUUAAUGGGUUGAUCACGUUGUGAAGUCGUAAAGUGAGGAAGACCAAUUAGGCCUGACCUGAUCGAUUGUCAUCCCUACUUAGCGUGGUAAGCAUUAACUACUAUUCCACUAGAGAUAUUAAAAGAGGUGAUUAGAACUACACUCAUUAGCCUUUUCGUCUGGAGGAUAGUCCACGAUAUACAUUGUUCUUUCUAUCUCCAACUCACGAGAGGUAUUUGGAAUCACACAAAUUUUUCCAUCUCAAGAGGUGGUCUAGAAGAUGUUUUGCCUCUCCCACUCUAGAAUUCAAAAAAAACAAAAAAAAAAAGGAGCAACCCAAUUUAUGAGGCUCCCGCUACUACAAAGUUUGAAAGGGACAAAUAUAAUAGAAACAACACUGAGUGGCUUUUCCAUCUCGAGAAGGUGGUUCAGAGGAUGCUUUGUCUUCCCAUCUUCGGAACAAAGGGUAAUCGAAUCAAAUGGGUAAUCAGGUAAUGGCAUGUUGGUGCAACUAUGAACAAUUUGACACAAUGGAUUGGAAUCAUGAUAUUAUUGUGACUUAGGGGUGCUUUGGAUCGUUAACAAAUCAAUAGAAAAGAAAAGUAAAAUCUAAUAAAACAAGGGGUUAAUUACUUGGACACCCUUGUACUAUGGGCUGGAUUGCUUGUCAUCUCAAAAAUUUUAAAAGUUUACUUGAAGCCCCAUGGGACCUGACAUUAGUCUAUUAUUAUUGGCUGAAUGAAAAGACUAUUUUACCCUUGUGAGGUAAACAAUUUUAUUUUUAAAUUAAAAGUAAAAAAUGGAAACAAAGUAGUUUGGGAAUUUAGGAUUUUCCCCACCCAUCACAUCAUCACUAAACAGUGACUAACUUACGGACAAACUAGUUGUAAUAAAUCUAAAAUGCAAGGGAGUGGUGUCCAACUAAAAUUUUUAAACUUUUGGAGUACCAAGCAAUCUAAUUAUAAUACAAGGGGUGUCCAAGUAAUUAACCCUUAAACGAAAGUAAUGAUGAAAUAGAUAAUGAAUUUAUUGCUUUAUUUUUUUGGGAGGGAUUGAGUUCCCUAAAAGGGACUGUGGCCUUUACAUCAGCAUGGAGACCAAUGGAAACAUACGCAGACUUAUUAACAAUGAUCAGAUUUCUAUUUUAUAUAGAUGCAAGGUGAUCAUUUCACCCUUCCAUAUGUCCAAAUUUAGAGACCACAGUGUCUUUUAGGUUUUCUUUCCUUACCGAAUAAACUCAACGACACAUCAUUGGAGUCAAUUUUUACAUAGUUGGAAGAUCUUCCAAUUUUCUUUCCUACUCCUGCUACAAGCCAACAAUGAUUUUGUCUUUCUUAUCACUUUAGGCAGUGUGAGGCUCGCCACGCCUAAGGCUCUUCUCUACAUUUCAAAUAGAAUUGAUGACCGAUGGAAAUUGGAAACCUCACACUCGAGAAUUCUUAAACAAACAAAAUUGGAUUUCUCAAUUACCGUUAAUGCCCUGAAGAUUCUUUUCCCAAGUCAAUGGCAACAUUAAGGUUCUGUGAUGCGAAGAAAGACUUGGUCAGAGCCACAAGUAGAUGAGAACAACUACGUCAGCAAUGUGAACACAGACCAGUGACCCUGAGAACAAACCUGUCCAAACCUUGUCCAAGCCUGUCUUGUUCAAAAAGUUUGUAGACACAGAAGUAGUUGCUUGGAAAGACUAGACUCUGUAUGAAACGAGGUUAUUCUACCUAUGAUCAUGAGAAAGAUUACCAGAAUAUGAGAACUGGAGCUUUCAUCAUUUGGCAGUUUGUAUAUGCAUCAAUAAUUUUAAGGAGCUCACGUACGGGUGAGGAUAA